AGCGAACGCUGGCGGCAUGCCUAACACAUGCAAGUCGCACGGGGGGGCUUCGGCCUCCCAGUGGCGGACGGGUGAGGAACGCGUAGGGACCUGUCGAGGGGUGGGGGAUAACCGCGGGAAACUGCGGCUAAUACCGCCUGACGCCGCGGCGUGACAGCCGGGGCCAAAGGCGAAAGCCGCCCGCCGAGGGGCCUGCGUCCGAUUAGCUGGUUGGCGGGGUAGCGGCCCACCAAGGCGUCGAUCGGUAGCUGGGCUGAGAGGGUGAUCAGCCACACCGGGACUGGGACACGGCCCGGACUCCUACAGGAGGCAGCAGUGGGGAAUAUUGGACAAUGGGCGCAAGCCUGAUCCAGCAAGGGCGCGUGGGUGAAGAAGGUCUGCGGAUUGUAAAGCCCUUUCGGCGGGGACGAUGGUGACGGUACCCGCAGAAGAAGCCCCGGCUAACUUCGUG
rnacentral:rRNA from 1 species